rnacentral:lncRNA from 1 species
AUGGAGCAUGAUGGAGUUCUCCAAAGACCUCAGAAGCCAACUUACCUGGAUGUCUUCUUAAACGUGAAAACAUCUCCUAAACCACUCGGUCCUGAGGAUCAAGAGAGAGAGGUCGCGCUGAUGGAAGAAGCUGCUUACCUGUCAUCGCUCAGAGAAGCCUGCACCGACACCCGAAUCGCUCCCAUCCAGCACUGUACCAUCACUGCUGCAGGUGCUUUACGGAACAAACCAGGACCUGAUUUUAGGUUUGUUUGCCUCUUCAUUGUGUGUGUCACCACCGAAUGGAGUCUGCACAAGGCCUUGUCCGCCAGAUUGAAGUCACUGGCAAGAGUACAUCUGGACUGGUGAGUAAGGACCUCUGAAAAUCUGCUGCAGCAUAAAAGCAAUAAGAAUGCUGGAAAAACUUGUUCCUAUUAGCUUUUUCAGAACUGUGGAGAACCUAAAACUUCUAAUAAUGUGAAGAAUGCUCAUUAAGGAAAAACAGUUGAAUCUUGGCAAAAAUCAAGCUUGGUUGCAAUUUAGCGUGCUCUAAUCCUAUCCCAUCCUUCUGCACUGAAACUUAAGCUACAGUUCAACCACCUGAGAACCAAGAGAGAAAAAUGUUUUGGUGGAGGAGAGGACAUGGUGUCCUACAGUAGUGUGGGCAUAUCAGGAGCUGAAUGUGCAGUGAACACGGGGGGCUUGUGGGAACGUGGCAGCAGGGAAUAUGGACAGGAUUCGGAGCAUGGGCAGGAUUCAGAUCUUGUGCAGCUACUUGUACCAGGCCAUUUGGAGCUUUAUCUUGAGGCUCAUAGGAAACUAAUAAAGACUUUUAUUCUGCGAGAACAGAGAAGUUCAGCCUCGUACUUCAGAAGUCCCUCUGGUUACCAUGGGGAGACUGGCAUGGGGCAUGGACAGGGUAUGAUGGUGAGCAUGCAAUAAACUCACUUUCCCUGAGAUAGGGUGUUGCAAGCAGAGGCCAGG